GAUGAACGCUGGCGGCGUGCCUAAUACAUGCAAGUCGAGCGAACAGACGAGGAGCUUGCUCCUCUGACGUUAGCGGCGGACGGGUGAGUAACACGUGGAUAACCUACCUAUAAGACUGGGAUAACUUCGGGAAACCGGAGCUAAUACCGGAUAAUAUAUUGAACCGCAUGGUUCAAUAGUGAAAGACGGUUUUGCUGUCACUUAUAGAUGGAUCCGCGCCGCAUUAGCUAGUUGGUAAGGUAACGGCUUACCAAGGCAACGAUGCGUAGCCGACCUGAGAGGGUGAUCGGCCACACUGGAACUGAGACACGGUCCAGACUCCGACGGGAGGCAGAAGUAGGGAAUCUUCCGCAAGGGGCGAAAGCCUGACGGAGCAACGCCGCGUGAGUGAUGAAGGUCUUCGGAUCGUAAAACUCUGUUAUUAGGGAAGAACAAAUGUGUAAGUAACUAUGCACGUCUUGACGGUACCUAAUCAGAAAGCCACGGCUAACUACGUG
rnacentral:rRNA from 1 species